rnacentral:rRNA from 1 species
CAGUAUUAGGUAGUUGGUGGGGUAAAGGCUCACCAAGCCGACGAUCUGUAGCUGGUCUGAGAGGACGACCAGCCACACUGGGACUGAGACACCGGCCCAGACUCCUACGGGAGGCAGCAGGUGGGGAAUUUUGGACAAUGGGGCAACCCUGAUCCAGCCAUGUCGCGUGAGUGAUGAAGGCCUUAGGGUUGUAAAGCUCUUUUGUCCGGGAAGAUAAUGACUGUACCGGAAGAAUAAGCCCCGGCUAACUUCGUG